UCCAUUUUUCCUUGCAAAACCGAACCAACACCCCAAGGUGAGAUUCAUACCCCUAUUUUCUGUUUUUAUGAGUUUUUUGGGGGGGGGAAUACAAGUGAAAGUGUAGAUCUAUAUGUGUUUGUAUGCCUUGUAUGAUUUCCAUGCUUAUAUGUAUGCUUAUAUGUGUUUUAAUGUUGGAUCUAGCCAUUAAACCCCUCAAAACCGAGAUAUAACUUAUGUUUUAUGAUUUUAGCUUCAAAUAUAUUUCUACAUAUAAAGUGAUACAAGAAAAAUAGCUAAGUGGUUAGCAACAAUUUUCUUUAAGCUAAAAACACAAAUUUUGGGCCAAAAAUGUGAAAAAUACAAAAUUAAGGGCCCAAAUUGACAUUUCACAGAUUCUGAUGGAUGAAGUGUGCCAAAACAGUUUCCAUAAAACUAUUUCUGGAAUUAUAUUCAAUUAGAGGAUUAAAAACAUAAAUUUCAAGCUUAAUGGGCUAAAAAUGACAUUUUCGGCCCAAUGAGGCCCAUUAUGCGAAUUUUUCUGUUUUGGAGGGCCAAAACUGUGAAUUUCUGUAAAACAGUGGACUAUAAGUGUCCCAAAUCCUUUUCAAAGGUUUAAAAUGCUUUUUAAAUUUAAAAAGGACCAAAGUUGCAAAAAUUUUCCAAUUUGGGCCAAAAUUGUCAAAGUUGCGAAAAUAAGGGAUUAAAACCGAGAAAACUGCAUUUUCAGGGACUUAAACUGUUUUCUAUGAAAAAUAUGCUGAAAAAUAUUAAUUUCAAUAAUUUUUGGUGUUAAAAUGUCAAGAAAAAUAGUUUAAGGACCAAACCGGGAAGUAUUUAAUAAAAAGGGUUGAAAAUGUAAAUUUUACAAAUAAUGAGGGGCUGAAAACAGGAAUAUUUCAAGGCUAAUUCAAUAUACACAAUUUGAUUAAAUAAUGGCAUCGCGGCUAUCGACGAAAUACAAUACACUACAAUACCAAAAGUCGUUGUUAAACGAAUUGGUUCGGUCUCGAACCAAUAAAAUCCGAAACUACUAACACUACGACACUAUGACACUACGACACUAUGACGCUAUGACACUACGACACUACGAUUCAUACAACUAACGAUUUGGAAUUCACUAUACAUACGAGUGUGCACAGACGUCUACGCACCAUCUUUGGGCCCCAAAAGUGUAAAAUCUUGUUCGUUGAGCCUAGCUAGCCCAAUGACCUGAUCUUAAGGCCCGAAGACCUCUAUCUUACGAAGUGUUGGGUUUUACCAAUCCGACACGACGUAACCGGACUUUCAAUGGCUGUAGACUACUGGUCCCCAAGGGUCCUUUAGUGUCGCCAGUGGAGUCUGCCUUUUUGCGAGGCGGGUCUGGGACCCCUCGUACAUUUUAUCCCCAACCGGUUAAUGGAGUCACCGGGGUCUUCGUGACCUCUUUCUCUUCGGAUGUGGGACUACACCUAGUCAGGGCGAUUGGAUAACGCGAUUAGUACUGACGACGCCUUCGGGUUCGUUAGUAUAACUAUAAACUGGGCGUUUGUGUAACGCGGGUUUGUAGUAAAUAAUCCUGCUCGAGAACCUUCCAACGUCGCCUGUGACUGACACUAUACGCUAUGCAAUGGUUUCAAUGUAACUUCAUGUAAUUCAAGGAACUAGGAGAACAUCGGGUUUUCCUAGGGUUUUCAAUACAUACAGAUUUGAAAUGCAUACAUCUUCAAUGAAAAUUUUUUUUACAAGUAUAGAAACAAACAAGCAUACCUAUGGAUCUUCACAAACGUUUUCGAAAGCUUUUCUUUUCAGAAAAUAUCGGAUUUUCUGGUGGUUUUUCAAACAAUAUAAACAUUCGAUUUCAAACACUACUUAUGAACUCACCAACAUUUCAUAUGUUGACGUUUUUCAAAAUACUUGUAUUCUCAGGGAACCAGUGAAUCAAGGGAAAUCAUACUCAGUGACGGUUGCAGUUUAUUUUUGAAUGAACCAAACAACAUUAAUUUUUGGAAAUGUAAUGUCUUAAACAAUGUAUGACAUGUAAACACUACUGGUUGUACUAUGUUGAUGAAUGGUGACGAAUGUUGUUUUGUUUCAUAUAUAUUCAAUGUUAUGGUAUUCAAUUGAGUCACGACAGCCCCCGGACGUUUCCGCCGUCUGGUUCGGGGGUGUGACAGGUUGGUAUCAGAGCUUUGUUUAUAGUGAACUAGCAUGUCGAGCCAUACAUUGAUAUGCAACUAUAAACCAAAAAGAGGGACUAACAUAACUCUGAACAAAACAAAUGAAUAAAAUACACUUGCUUGCAUUAGGAGUAAGGACCUAACGCUGAAUCAAACACCAUAAUACUGGUAUCUCGGUUAAUUCGGGACUGUUCUUAGUGAUACCAAGGAGUGAAUGUAGCCUGAUCAACUACAUUCUCUCCAAGGUAAAACUAACACAUGUCUUGAUGAGAUCGGAAUAGCCAGGGAACCUAAAAAUUUUACCCUAUAUCACCCAAAAAGAGAAUAUUUGCUUAGUCUGUGUAAUAGUCAUAGUACCCUAGGAAUAAUGUAGCAUAAUUACGUACUCGCGCAGACAGCAUGGCUGGUUUUCAUCACCCUGGAGACCCCUACUUCCCUAAUCAGGGAAACAACGGGUGGCUAGAGGAGGAGGAGGAGCCUGAGGAGGAGCAGCCGGGUAUCCAGUUUCAUCAGGCCUUAGUAGCUCACGGGAUGCUGGUGGAUGAGCCGGGAGAGCAUCCAGGAGAAGCACACGACGUCGAACCCGACGAAUAUAUAGACACCGACUACGAAUUUGGAGAGGUCGACGAUGACGACGAGGAGGGUCAGGUCGGGGGCCAGGACCCCAUCCCACCAUGCGAGGACGAGGCACAACCAGAUCACCCCGCUCCACCAGUGAACCCCCCAAGGGAGAACCGUUCCCUCGAAGCUGAGAUCGCCGCACUGCGACAACAGCUGUAUGCUAUGGAAGCUCGGGCAGUGAGAGCAGAGCACGAGAGGGAUGAAGUUAUAGGAGACAUGGCAGAGAUGGCGCAGCUACUGGCGCAACAUUUCGGCAUAUGACUUCGGCACCACCUCCUGACGCAGCUCAUCGCGGUUAGGGAUAGACCUAUCGUAGUAGGAUAUUAGUAACUAUGUUAUGUACUCCGGCUCUAUGUUUAAGUGACUACACUACUCAUGGAGCCGUUAUGCUGUCGGAUUAGUGUUACUUAUGUAUGCUCCUACGAGCAAAUUUUCUUGUACUAAACACGGAUAAUAUUAAUAAACUUUUGUGUGUUUUGCUAUGAUAUUCUCAGUUGUUAUAUGUUGAGGUGUUAUGAUUGUAUGCUUGAUGAUAGUAAUGCUUAGGUUCGUACCCUACACCUAGUUAGUAGGAUCAUAACCUCACCGAAACCACGUACACUCAACAUCUUUCCGUUUCAUGACAGAAAGAUGCCUCGCCCAGCUACUCGCGGAAAUCCCGAACCAACCCCGCCGGAAGUUGACUCCACUGCUUUCCAGGCAGCCGUGUCUGCUGCGGUCACAGCGGCUAUGGCACAACUUCACCGAGGGAACAACGGAGGAGGUAACGGGCAAGGAUCCGGAAGUUCGAACAACGGGACGAACCAAGGACUCACUAAAACGUGCACCUACAAGGAUUUUGCGAACGCUAAACCCCGAACUUUCAACGGUACCGGAGGAGUGAUCGCCCUAAAGCGAUGGAUCGAGAAGGUAGAGUCGGUAUUCGAGAUAUGCGAGUGCCCCGAGCAGAUGAAAGUGAAGUUCGCGGCCUGCACUUUUGUGGACCAAGCACUCACUUGGUGGAAUGGUCAUGUGGAAGCUAUGACACUCCCUGUCGCCAACUCUAUUCCCUGGGCAGAGAUGAAAGAGAUGUUGACGGCUGAGUACUGCCCCCGAGGCGAAAUACAGAAGAUGGAGCAGGAACUAUGGAAUCUCACGGUGCAGAAUGGGAACAUCGAUGCUUACAUAUCGAGAUUCAGCGAACUAUCUCUGUUGUGCCCGGGUAUGAUCACAUCAGAGGGGAAGAAGAUUGAACGAUUCAUUUGGGGACUGACAUCCCCCAUUCAAGGGAACGUGAUAGCUGCUAACCCUGAAACGUUUGACAGCGCGAAGAGAUUGGCAAAGAGGCUCUAUGAUCAUAACCACAAAAAGGGCGAGAAACCGGUAGAGACUGAGAAGAAGAAGGAGAGCGAUGGUAAGAAAGGAUGGAACAACAAGAGGAAGGGGCGUCAAGGUCCCGAGACCUCUAAAAAGCAGCAAACGGUGGCAGUUCACGCUGUCACUGCGCCGGUACCAGUCACAUCACAUGCUCCAGCCUCAGCUACUUCAAAUACUUCAAGACCCUAUUCCGGCACUCAUCCCAAAUGCAACAAGUGCGGUUUCCAUCACCAAGGAGAAUGUAGGGAGUUCCAUUGCACCAGUUGCAACCGAAGGGGACACACUGCAAAGUUCUGCAGGACUUAUCCUUCUCAGAACCAGAGUCAGGGAAACAACCAGAACAACAACAACAACCACCGCAACACCAACAACACCAAUGCCGGCGGCAACAACGCAGGGCCUAGCCACACCUGUUUCGGGUGUGGAAGGACGGGACAUUUCCGUCGAGAUUGCCCUAACAACAACAACUCAGGAAACAGAGGAGCAGGAAGAAUGCUGACUAUGGGUCAGAGUGAUGCAGUUCAGGACCCCGCAGUUGUGACCGGUACGUUUCUCCUAAACCACACUUAUGCAUGCAUCUUAUUUGAUACCGGAGCGGAGCGAAGUUUCGUAAGCGAGAAGUUUAAACAUUUACUAAAACAACAACCCCAGAAGCUAAAUGAAACCUAUACGGUGGAAAUGGCCAAUGGGAAAACCGAAUCCACUAGGGAGAUCUACAUCGGAUGUACCCUAACCCUUAACCAGCACGUCUUUCGAAUAGACCUAAUGCCAGUAUCAAUUAGGAGUUUCGAUGUGAUUAUCGGCAUGGAUUGGUUAAGCCCCCACCAUGCUGAGAUUAUGUGCCACGAGAAGGCCGUUCGCCUUCGUCUCCCGAAUCACGAAACCCUAGUAAUUUACGGAGACAAACCUAGCACGAAUCUUCGUCUUAUCUCGUGCAUCAAAGCACAAAAACAUCUGCGAAAGAACAACUUAGCGUUCUUGGCCCACAUAGUGGACAAGACCAAAGAAGAAACUAACAUCCAAGACAUUCCGGUAGCGUGUGAAUUUCCGGACGUGUUUCCCGAAGAUCUUCCAGGAGUACCCCCAGAGAGACAGGUUGAGUUCCGAAUCGACCUCGUUCCAGGAGCAACUCCUCUCGCUAAAUCACCAUAUCGGUUGGCACCUGCUGAAAUGCAGGAAUUGUCCAGCCAACUCAGUGAGCUUCUGGACAAGGGAUUUAUCCGACCUAGCUACUCGCCAUGGGGAGCUCCGGUGCUCUUUGUCAAAAAGAAGGAUGGAUCUUUCAGAAUGUGCAUCGAUUACAGAGAGUUGAAUAAACUCACUGUUAAAAACCGCUACCCACUCCCGCGAAUCGAUGAUCUAUUCGACCAGCUCCAAGGAGCUAGCUAUUUUUCUAAAAUAGAUCUACGGUCCGGAUACCAUCAACUCAAGGUCCGAGAAGAAGAUAUUCCUAAAACCGCUUUCCGAACCCGCUAUGGACAUUAUGAAUUCGUCGUAAUGCCCUUCGGUCUAACAAAUGCACCUGCCGCAUUUAUGGACCUAAUGAACCGAAUCUGUCGACCGUUCUUGGACAACUUCGUCAUUGUGUUUAUCGAUGACAUCCUCGUCUAUUCUCGAAGCAAAGAGGAGCAUGGCCAACAUCUCCGACAAGUCCUAGAGACGCUGCGAUCGGAAAGGCUUUACGCCAAACUCUCUAAGUGUGAGUUUUGGCUACGGAGCGUGAAUUUUCUAGGUCACGUAGUUAGCCAAGAUGGAAUUCAUGUGGAUCCCUCUAAGGUCAAAGCUGUGGAAGGAUGGGCAACUCCGACUACGCCCACAGAAAUUCGUCAGUUCUUAGGCCUAGCAGGCUACUAUAGGAGAUUCAUCCAAAACUUCUCAAAAAUCGCCAAGCCACUUACCUUGCUUACGCAAAAGAGCGUGCCAUUCAAGUGGACAGACCGACAAGAGAUUGCGUUUCGAACCUUGAAGCAAGCUCUUUGCAGCGCUCCUGUACUAUCUCUACCUGAAGGAACGGAAGAUUUUGUAGUUUACUGUGACGCGUCAAAUCAAGGCUUAGGUUGCGUUCUCAUGCAACGUGGAAGAGUGAUAGCAUAUGCGUCCCGUCAACUAAAGGCGCACGAAGUAAAUUACACAACCCAUGACCUAGAACUGGGAGCUGUGGUCUUCGCUCUAAAAAUUUGGAGGCACUACCUGUACGGUACAAAGUGCACCAUCUUUACGGACCACAAGAGCCUCCAGCACAUCUUGAAUCAGAAGGAGCUGAACAUGAGACAACGAAGAUGGGUGGAAUUGUUAAACGACUACGAAUGCGAGAUCAAGUACCAUCCAGGCAAGGCCAACGUGGUAGCUGACGCAUUAAGUCGGAAGGAAUACACAAAUCGCCGUACGAAAACGCACUCGAUAACCAUUCAGUCUCAUCUGACCACUCAAAUUGCAUCAGUCCAGGCAGAGGCUAUGAAAGCGGAAAAUAGAACUAGCGAGGCAUUACGCGGAAUGGAGAAGAACCUGGAAGUCAAAGAGAAUGGGGUAUACUACUUCAUGAACCGUAUUUGGGUUCCAAAAAUCGGAGGAUUCAGGGAGACCGUUAUGAAGGAAGCCCACAAGACACGAUACUCCAUUCAUCCUGGUUCGGACAAGAUGUAUUUGGACAUUAAGCAGCACUAUUGGUGGCCUAACAUGAAGGCGGAAAUCGCAACUUAUGUUAGUAAGUGCCUUACGUGUGCCAAAGUAAAAGUGGAAUACCAGAAACCUUCCGGAUUGUUACAGCAACCGGCAAUCCCUGAGUGGAAAUGGGAGGGGAUUUCUAUGGACUUCGUGACCAAGCUGCCCAAGACGUCGGACGGAUUGGACACCAUAUGGGUAAUAAUCGACCGACUGACGAAAUCUGCCCAUUUCCUGCCAAUCAAAGAGUCCUACAAGAUGGAGAGGCUGACGCGUUUGUACCUACGAGAGAUUGUAAGACUUCAUGGAGUGCCAAAAUCUAUCAUCUCGGAUAGGGACAGUAGGUUCACGUCACGCUUUUGGCAGUCGCUCCACAAGGCAAUGGGAACUCAUCUUGAUAUGAGCACCGCGUAUCACCCACAAACGGACGGUCAAAGCGAACGAACCAUUCAGACGCUUGAAGACAUGCUUCGUGCAUGUGUGAUAGACUUCGGAAAGUCUUGGGAUACCCACCUACCGUUGAUCGAGUUUUCAUAUAACAAUAGUUAUCAUUCGAGCAUUAAGGUGGCCCCUUUCGAAGCACUGUACGGGCGUAAAUGUAGAUCACCGUUAUGUUGGGCUGAAGUAGGUGACACCCAGCUAGCAAGAACACAUACGUCGGAUAGGGCAAUGACAGGACCGGAAAUCAUUCGCGAGACCACAGAAAAGAUUGUCCAGAUCAAAGCUCGAUUACAGGCAUCGCGUGACCGGCAAAAGAGCUACGCUGAUAAACGGCGAAAGCCCUUAGAGUUCCAGGUCGGUGAUCGAGUAUUGUUGAAGGUCUCACCCUGGAAAGGGGUUAUACGUUUCGGAAAACGAGGAAAGCUAAACCCACGGUACAUUGGACCUUUCGAAAUCGUCGCCCGAAUAGGUCCGGUAGCCUACAGACUACAACUACCCCCGGAGCUAAACGGUGUGCACCCCGUGUUUCAUGUUUCUAAUCUGAAAAAGUGCCUAUCAGAUGAAACUCUUGUCAUUCCUCUUGACGAAAUCGAAAUCAAUGAGAAUCUCCUGUUCGUCGAAGAACCAAUCGAAAUCAUGGACAGGGAGGUGAAGCGUACUAAGCAGAGUCGCAUCCCGAUCGUGAAGGUACGGUGGAACGCAAAGCGUGGGCCAGAAUUCACGUGGGAACGCGAAGAUCAAAUGAAGCAGAAGUACCCUCACCUAUUCUAGUUUUCUCAAAUCUAGCUUUCAAACAGAAUUUCGGGACGAAAUUCCCUUUAACGGGGGGAUGAUGUCACAACUGUGAAUUUUAAGCUAUGUAAUCUAUACAUUCAAGUUAAUGUGAAUCAAAAACUUUAACCAAAUACAAGAUACAAGUACUAUAGAUAGUCAUCAAACAAUUGGAGACCCUAGAAGUUUUGGUUAAGUCCAUUUUGGACUAAGACUUCCUUAUUGGAUCCAAAUGGACCAAUAAGCUUCCAAUUGGACUAUCAUGGGUUUAGGACCCUAAUUGGGCUCUAAUUGGACCCACAUUCGUUUAUUUCAAUAUUUUGGGCUAGGUAGAACCUAGAAGGAAAUAAAACACAAGUUUUGAUCCAUAAUUAAACCUAACCUAGCUUAAUAAAGCACAAAAAUCACAAUUUUAUUUUAUAAGUCCAAUAAAUACCCUAAACUACCUCUAAUGUUGGGCUUGGGGGCAAAAGCCCAAAUUUUUCCUCUUUCCCUUCAUAUUCUCGGCCCAAGGCCCAAAUCCAAGGGGAAUUGACUAGUGUUGCCACCUCACUAUUACCUAAUGGAUUUCUAGGCAUAUAUCACAUACCUCCAUGCAUGUAUCACUUCAAGAGUCACUUCUUUCUCUCUUCUCUUCUUGCUCUCGGCCAAGCAUCAUCACACACACCAAAAUAUCUCAACUUUCUCUCUAGAACACUCAAAGAACUCUCCUUCCCUCCCCUCUCCAAAAAUCUCGAAAUUUAGGGACUUUCCAAGAGGAUUUUGCAAGUAAAUCAUCAUCUAAGGUAAGAUUAUGCAUAGAUCUAUGGUUUAAAUUCUUUUGUUAUCAAAAUCUCUUCCUAAUCCAUGUAAAAACCGUGAUCUUGCACUCUAGAAACCCCAUAAUCUCGAAAAGUUCAUCAAGGAGUGCAAGGGCCAAAAAUCACUUCAUUUCUUCCAAUUUUUCUUCAAGAACCGAAACUACCCACCCAAGGUGAGAUUCAUACCCCUAUUUUCUGUUUUUAAGAGUUUUUGUGGGGGGGAAUACAAGUGAAAGUGUAGAUCUAUAUGUAUUUGUAUGCCUUGUAUGAUUUCCAUGCUUAUAUGUAUGCUUAUAUGUGUUUUAAUGUUGGAUCUAGCCAUUAAACCCCUCAAAACCGAGAUAUAACUCAUGUUUUAUGAUAUUAGCUUCAAAUAUGUUACUACAUAAUAAGUGAUACUAGAUAAAUAGCCAAGUGGUUAGCAACAAUUUUCUUUAAGCUAAAAACACACAUCUUGGGCCAAAAAUGUGAAAAAUACAAAAUUAAGGGCCCAAAAUGACAUUUUACAGAUUCUGAUGGUUGAAAUGUGUCAAAACAGUUUCAAUAAAGCUAUUUCUGGAAUUCUAUUCAAUUGGUGGAUUAAAAACAUAAAUUUCAAGCCUAUUGGGCUAAAAAUGCAAAUUUCGGCCCAAUAAGGCCCAAUAUGCGAAUUUUUCUGUUUUGGAGGGCCAAAACUGUAACUUUCUGUAAAACAGUGGACUAUAAGUGUUCCAAAUCCUUUUCAAAGGUUUAAAAUGCUUUUUAAAUUUAAAAAGGACCAAAGUUGCAAAAAUUUUCCAUUUUGGGCCAAAAUUGUCAAAAUUGCGAAAAGAUGGGCUAAAACCGAGAAAAACUGCAUUUUCAGGGACUUAAACUGUUUUCUUUGAAAAAUAUGCUGGAAAAUAUUAAUUUCAAUAAUUUUUGGUGUUAAAAUGUCAAGAAAAAUAGUUUAAGGACCAAACCGGGAAAUAUUCAAAUAAAAGGGUUGAAAAUGUAAAUUUUACAAAUAAUGAGGGGCUGAAAACAGAAAUAUUUCAAGGCUGAUUCAUUAUGUACAAUGUGAUCAAAUAAUGACACCUCAACUACCAACGAAAUACAACUCAUUACAAUACCAAAAGUCGUUGCUAAACGAAUUGGCUCGGUCUCGAGCCAAUGGAAAUCUACAACUACUAACUCUUUGAUACAUACAAAUAACGAUUGGUAAUAC
rnacentral:lncRNA from 1 species